GACGGAGGGGGCAAGCGUUGUCCGGAAUCACUGGGCGUAAAGCGCACGUAGGCGGCUCAUUUAGUCAGGGGUGAAAUCCCGGGGCUCAACCUCGGAACUGCCUUUGAUACUGAUGGUCUCGAGUCCGAUAGAGGUGAGUGGAAUUCCUAGUGUAGAGGUGAAACUCGUAGAUAUUAGGAAGAACACCAGUGGCGAAGGCGGCUCACUGGAUCGGUACUGACGCUGAGGUGCGAAAGCGUGGGGAGCAAACAGG
rnacentral:rRNA from 1 species